rnacentral:rRNA from 1 species
AACGAACGCUGGCGGCAUGCCUAACACAUGCAAGUCGAACGAGACCUUCGGGUCUAGUGGCGCACGGGUGCGUAACGCGUGGGAACCUGCCCUUAGGUUCGGAAUAACUCCCCGAAAGGGGUGCUAAUACCGGAUAAUGUCUUCGGACCAAAGAUUUAUCGCCUUUGGAUGGGCCCGCGUUGGAUUAGCUAGUUGGUAGGGUAAAAGCCUACCAAGGCGACGAUCCAUAGCUGGUCUGAGAGGAUGAUCAGCCACACUGGGACUGAGACACGGCCCAGACUCCUACGGGAGGCAGGAAUGGGGAAUAUUGGACAAUGGGCGAAAGCCUGAUCCAGCAAUGCCGCGUGAGUGAUGAAGGCCUUAGGGUUGUAAAGCUCUUUUACCCGGGAUGAUAAUGACAGUACCGGGAGAAUAAGCUCCGGCUAACUCCGUG